CGUUAAUCGGAAUUACUGGGCGUAAAGCGUGCGUAGGCGGCUCUUUAAGUCAGAUGUGAAAUCCCCGGGCUCAACCUGGGAACUGCAUCUGAUACUGGGGAGCUAGAAUUUGGGAGAGGGAAGUGGAAUUUCCGGUGUAGCGGUGAAAUGCAUAGAGAUCGGAAGGAACAUCAGUGGCGAAGGCGACUUCCUGGACCAAAAUUGACGCUGAGGCACGAAAGCGUGGGUAGCAAACAGGAUUAGAUACCCUGGUAGUCCACGCCGUAAACGAUGUCAACUAGCCGUCGGCUCCAACUAAGGGGUCGGUGGUGCAGCUAACGCAUUAAGUUGACCGCCUGGGGAGUACGCGCGCAAGCGUAAAACUCAAAGGAAUUGACGGGGCCGCACAAGCGGUGGAGCA
rnacentral:rRNA from 1 species